UUGGCUCAGGAUGAACGCUGGCGGCGUGCUUAACACAUGCAAGUCGAACGGAACUGAUCAAUCGAAGCAGACGGUGCUUGCACCUGACGCUUCACCCGAUUAGUUAGUGGCGGACGGGUGAGUAACGCGUGAGCAACCAACCUUUUGCAGUGGGACAACAAUUAGAAAUGAUUGCUAAUACCGCAUAAGACCACAGCGUCACAUGGCGCAGUGAGAAAAGCUCCGGCGGCAAGAGACGGGCUCGCGUUCGAUUAGCUAGAUGGUGAGGUAACGGCCCACCAUGGCGACGAUCGAUAGCCGGACUGAGAGGUCGACCGGCCACAUUGGGACUGAGACACGGCCCAGACUCCUACGGGAGGCAGUAGUGGGGAAUAUUGCACAAUGGGGGAAACCCUGAUGCAGCGACGCCGCGUGGGUGAUGAAGUAUUUCGGUAUGUAAAGCCCUUUUAGCAGGGAAGAAAUUGACGGUACCUGCAGAAACAGCCCCGGCUAACUACGUGCCAGCCGCGGC
rnacentral:rRNA from 1 species